rnacentral:rRNA from 1 species
AUUGAACGCUGGCGGCAGGCCUAACACAUGCAAGUCGAGCGGAUGAAGGGAGCUUGCUCCUGGAUUCAGCGGAGGACGGGAGAGUAAUGCCAAGGAAUCUGCCUGGUAGUGGGGGAUAACGUCCGGAAACGGGCGCUAAUACCGCAUACGUCCUGAGGGAGAAAGUGGGGGAUCUUCGGAUCUCACGCUAUCAGAUGAGCCUGGUCGGAUUAGCUAGUUGGUGGGGUAAAGGCCUACCAAGGCGACGAUCCGUAACUGGGCUGAGAGGAUGAACAGUCACACUGGAACUGAGACACGGUCCAGACUCCUACGGGAGGCAGCGGUGCGGAAUAUUGGACAAUGGGCGAAAGCCUGAUCCAGCCAUGCCGCGUGUGUGAAGAAGGUCUUCGGAUUGUAAAGCACUUUAAGUUGGGAGGAAGGGCAGUAAGUUAAUACCUUGUUGUUUUGACGUUACCAGCAGAAUAAGCACCGGCUAACUUCGUG